GAGGGUAUGGCUUAGUGGUAGAGUGCAUGCCUACCAUGCACGAGGUCCCGGGUUCAAUCCCCGGAACCUCCA
rnacentral:tRNA from 1 species